GGUCAAGUGAAGAAGCGCAUACGGUGGAUGCCUUGGCAGUCAGAGGCGAUGAAAGACGUGGUAGCCUGCGAAAAGCUUCGGGGAGUCGGCAAACAGACUGUGAUCCGGAGAUGUCUGAAUGGGGGAACCCAGCCAUCAUAAGAUGGUUAUCUUGUACUGAAUACAUAGGUGCAAGAGGCGAACCAGGGGAACUGAAACAUCUAAGUACCCUGAGGAAAAGAAAUCAACCGAGAUUCCCUUAGUAGUGGCGAGCGAACGGGGACUAGCCCUUAAGUGGCUUUGAGAUUAGCGGAACGCUCUGGAAAGUGCGGCCAUAGUGGGUGAUAGCCCUGUACGCGAAAAUCUCUUAGUCAUGAAAUCGAGUAGGACGGGGCACGAGAAACCUUGUCUGAAUAUGGGGGGACCAUCCUCCAAGGCUAAAUACUACUGACUGACCGAUAGUGAACUAGUACCGUGAGGGAAAGGCGAAAAGAACCCCGGAGAGGGGAGUGAAAUAGAUCCUGAAACCGUCUGCGUACAAGCAGUGGGAGCCCACUUGUUGGGUGACUGCGUACCUUUUGUAUAAUGGGUCAGCGACUUAUUUUCAGUGGCAAGCUUAACCGAAUAGGGGAGGCGUAGCGAAAGCGAGUCUUAAUAGGGCGUCUAGUCGCUGGGAAUAGACCCGAAACCGGGCGAUCUAUCCAUGGGCAGGUUGAAGGUUGGGUAACACUAACUGGAGGACCGAACCGACUACCGUUGAAAAGUUAGCGGAUGACCUGUGGAUCGGAGUGAAAGGCUAAUCAAGCUCGGAGAUAGCUGGUUCUCCUCGAAAGCUAUUUAGGUAGCGCCUCAUGUAUCACUGUAGGGGGUAGAGCACUGUUUCGGCUAGGGGGUCAUCCCGACUUACCAAACCGAUGCAAACUCCGAAUACCUACAAGUGCCGAGCAUGGGAGACACACGGCGGGUGCUAACGUCCGUCGUGAAAAGGGAAACAACCCAGACCGUCAGCUAAGGUCCCAAAGUCAUGGUUAAGUGGGAAACGAUGUGGGAAGGCUUAGACAGCUAGGAGGUUGGCUUAGAAGCAGCCACCCUUUAAAGAAAGCGUAAUAGCUCACUAGUCGAGUCGGCCUGCGCGGAAGAUGUAACGGGGCUCAAACCAUGCACCGAAGCUACGGGUAUCACUUAGGUGAUGCGGUAGAGGAGCGUUCUGUAAGCCUGUGAAGGUGAGUUGAGAAGCUUGCUGGAGGUAUCAGAAGUGCGAAUGCUGACAUGAGUAACGACAAUGGGUGUGAAAAACACCCACGCCGAAAGACCAAGGUUUCCUGCGCAACGUUAAUCGACGCAGGGUGAGUCGGUCCCUAAGGCGAGGCUGAAAAGCGUAGUCGAUGGAAAACAGGUUAAUAUUCCUGUACUUCUGGUUAUUGCGAUGGAGGGACGGAGAAGGCUAGGCCAGCUUGGCGUUGGUUGUCCAAGUUUAAGGUGGUAGGCUGGAAUCUUAGGUAAAUCCGGGGUUUCAAGGCCGAGAGCUGAUGACGAGUUACCCUUUAGGGUGACGAAGUGGUUGAUGCCAUGCUUCCAAGAAAAGCUUCUAAGCUUCAGAUAACCAGGAACCGUACCCCAAACCGACACAGGUGGUUGGGUAGAGAAUACCAAGGCGCUUGAGAGAACUCGGGUGAAGGAACUAGGCAAAAUGGCACCGUAACUUCGGGAGAAGGUGCGCCGGUGAGGGUGAAGGACUUGCUCCGUAAGCUCAUGCCGGUCGAAGAUACCAGGCCGCUGCGACUGUUUAUUAAAAACACAGCACUCUGCAAACACGAAAGUGGACGUAUAGGGUGUGACGCCUGCCCGGUGCCGGAAGGUUAAUUGAUGGGGUUAGCUCACGCGAAGCUCUUGAUCGAAGCCCCGGUAAACGGCGGCCGUAACUAUAACGGUCCUAAGGUAGCGAAAUUCCUUGUCGGGUAAGUUCCGACCUGCACGAAUGGCGUAACGAUGGCGGCGCUGUCUCCACCCGAGACUCAGUGAAAUUGAAAUCGCUGUGAAGAUGCAGUGUAUCCGCGGCUAGACGGAAAGACCCCGUGAACCUUUACUAUAGCUUUGCACUGGACUUUGAAUUUGCUUGUGUAGGAUAGGUGGGAGGCUUUGAAGCGUGGACGCCAGUUCGCGUGGAGCCAACCUUGAAAUACCACCCUGGCAACUUUGAGGUUCUAACUCAGGUCCGUUAUCCGGAUCGAGGACAGUGUAUGGUGGGUAGUUUGACUGGGGCGGUCUCCUCCUAAAGAGUAACGGAGGAGUACGAAGGUGCGCUCAGACCGGUCGGAAAUCGGUCGUAGAGUAUAAAGGCAAAAGCGCGCUUGACUGCGAGACAGACACGUCGAGCAGGUACGAAAGUAGGUCUUAGUGAUCCGGUGGUUCUGUAUGGAAGGGCCAUCGCUCAACGGAUAAAAGGUACUCCGGGGAUAACAGGCUGAUACCGCCCAAGAGUUCAUAUCGACGGCGGUGUUUGGCACCUCGAUGUCGGCUCAUCACAUCCUGGGGCUGAAGCCGGUCCCAAGGGUAUGGCUGUUCGCCAUUUAAAGUGGUACGCGAGCUGGGUUUAGAACGUCGUGAGACAGUUCGGUCCCUAUCUGCCGUGGACGUUUGAGAUUUGAGAGGGGCUGCUCCUAGUACGAGAGGACCGGAGUGGACGAACCUCUGGUGUUCCGGUUGUCACGCCAGUGGCAUUGCCGGGUAGCUAUGUUCGGGAAAGAUAACCGCUGAAAGCAUCUAAGCGGGAAACUUGCCUCAAGAUGAGAUCUCACUGGAACCUUGAGUUCCCUGAAGGGCCGUCGAAGACUACGACGUUGAUAGGUGGGGUGUGUAAGCGCUGUGAGGCGUUGAGCUAACCCAUACUAAUUGCCCGUGAGGCUUGACCCU
rnacentral:rRNA from 1 species